AUGAAAGAGGGAAAUUAGGUUACCUGGAGAAAUGCCGAUCCCAAUUCCCUCGUUCAAGGCUCCCGCGGCGGCGUUCUCUUUGUCUCCGAUCGGAGGUUCUUUACCGUCGCGAAUCUUACCCUCGACUCUGUCCUCUUAUCUCACUUCUCGUUCGCAAUCUCUCUGCACCUUGACUUCUUCGUUUCUCGCCUCUCAAACCUCGGCUUUCAAUCUCUUUCACCUUCUCCGAUUCACCUCUGGUUCAUCUUUUCCGACUUCAUCAGAGUAACGGUUACCGAAGCCGCUCACUCCGGCGGUGGAUGCGACGGCAAUUCAAAAAGGCCAGAGAAAUGAGAAGCUUGAAUCGGUUGUAGAAGAUGAUGAUGAUUGAUGAACUUGCAGAAGGUUGAUUCGAUGAAGACGAUUUGGUGCCGGUGAUGAUUGAACGGUUACGAUGAUGAAUUCAGAUAGAAAGAUUGGAGAAUUGUGAAGAUGUUUUUACAGCCUUUUUUGAUUGAAUUUGGAGAAGAAGCUUUAAAGGAUUGAGAGGAUUGAAGCAGAGUGUGAAGUGAUGAAGAUGAUGGCAAAGGUGUGGAAGUGGUGGAAGAGUGUGGUGGUUAUGAUGCGUGUCUGAACAAUGGUUGAAGAAGAUGAAGGUGAAGUACUGAGUGAAGAUGAAGAUGAAUGAGUAUGGAGAAGAUUGAAAAUGGUGGAGGAAUGGAAGAGGAAGAUUUGAAGAAUUGUGGAGAUCGAGAUGGGUGAAAGAAGAUGAAGAAAAAUGGAGAUUGAGAGUGGAAGAAUGAUGGAGAGGAUGAGGAUUGAGAAAAUGGUUGAGAGCUUCUGAAUUGGAGGGAAAUUCUAUUAUAUAGAGGAGAGGGAAUUUGAUUCAGUUAGAGCUUGAAUGAUUGGAGCCCUUGGAUUGAGAGAGUUUGUUAUGUGAUGAAUGGAGGAGAUUGAGUCUGAUUAAGAGGAUCACAUGGAAGCUUGGUGGAAGCAUGGAGAUGAACGAAAGACUUUGAAGAGAUUUACUUAUUGGAUGCAAGGUGGAGUGACUCAAAGGCUUGGAGAAAGAUAGGUCUAGGACAUAGAUACAAUCUUGAAAUGUAAUAACAGGAUAUUUAUAUUUGUGUAUAUUUUUUUUUGCAAGUGCACUUGAACAAUGUUAGCCUUGUAUGGACUAAAUAAACUAAAAAAUGUGAAUGAUGUAAGGUUGGUCUUAUA